CCUGGCUCAGGAUGAACGCUAGCGACAGGCCUAACACAUGCAAGUCGAGGGGCAGCACAAGGAGCAAUCUGAGGUGGCGACCGGCGCACGGGUGAGUAACACGUAUGCAACCUGCCUGUAAGCGGGGAAUAACCCGUUGAAAGACGGACUAAUACCGCAUAAUACUAAAUUACUGCAUGGUAAUUUAUUUAAACAUUUAUGGCUUACAGAUGGGCAUGCGCAUGAUUAGCUAGUUGGAGAGGUAACGGCUCCCCAAGGCAACGAUCAUUAGGGGUUCUGAGAGGAAGGUCCCCCCACACUGGUACUGAGACACGGACCAGACUCCUACGGGAGGCAGCAGUGAGGAAUAUUGGUCAAUGGACGAGAGUCUGAACCAGCCAAGUCGCGUGCAGGAAGAAUUGUCCUAUGGAUUGUAAACUGCUUUUGCAGGGGAAUAAAGUGCAUCACGUGUGAUGUUUUGUAUGUACUCUGCGAAUAAGGAUCGGCUAACUCCGUGCCAGCCGCGGC
rnacentral:rRNA from 1 species